rnacentral:lncRNA from 1 species
UCCUCUAGAUGCUCAUUGAUCAUUAGUUAGAUGCUUGCCUCCUUGAAGGCCUUGUAAAGGUUAUUGAUAAGUGCCAUUUUCUUUUUCGGUAUAUUAAGAUAAUAGAGGAAUGUGAUGUGAUAAAGGGGGUUACAUGAAGAUAGCAUUUGACAGCAUAAGGCUAACUUUGGCCCACCAACCUCUGUACGUCAAUUGCAAAAAGAGUAGUAGUGACCCUGAAACAUGAUUAACACGAGACAUAUUUUGCAAGUAAGAGAAAUUCAUCAAACUAAAGGUCAAUCAGAAAAGAAAGCACAUUGAAGAAUUAUGCAUAAUUGAAGAAGUAAAAGAAGUAAACAGCAAAAAUAACUAAUUCAAAGGAAAUGGGACAAUGAUUACAUGAUCCAUAAGUAGACAACUAGAAACUGAACUCAUCCCUCCUCAGGUUCUAGAUGGAGAGGAAGCCAACCACAUGGAUAUUACUAUUACGUAGAAAACUCAUAACUAGAUAAAAGACAAAGACUUUGGAAAUUAAAAGCAAAUGAAGAAAUCGCAUUUUUUUCUUCUCUCGACUAGUGAAUAAAAGGAUUUAACAUGCAUUGUGGUUCAAUCAAAUAUCUAAAACUCCAGGCGUAACAUAUAUAUACCUAUAGUAAGCACUUAAAAUGUGAAGGAAUUUCAAGAAAGUGAAACUGCUUACAACUUCUAUUUCAAGGCAACUUUUAAAAGAUAACCAUGUCCCCAUAUUCAAGUUGCAAAAGGCAAGGAGUGCUUUACAAAUCUUGGAGCUUUUACUGCAAAUAAUUCCAGCUGAAGAGGCAAUUUGAAAAAAGAAAGAUAGUGAAUUCCACCAGAAAAAGCAUGAUAGGACACACCUGACUACCAAGGAAAUUUAGCUUCUUGUCACGGUUUCACAUAUCACAUUGCAAAAGGCAAGGAAUGAUUUAUAACUCUGGAAAAUUUACACUGCAAAUAAAUCCAGCUGAAGAGGAAAUGUGAUAAAAGAUAGAAAGAAAUUGAACUCCACUUGAAAAAGUGUAAUAUGGCAUGCCUGACCGCCAUGGAAACCUAGCUUAUUGUACAUGUUUUCACAUUUCACAUAGGGUUCAAGCCAUAUCAUCCAUGUUGCUUGUUGCCAACUUCCUCGCUCUUCACAGUUUGAAGAGCUUCGUUCAAACGCCUUCCAUCUCUGCUAAAGCCCAUCCAAUGUCUUUCCAAAGAUUUUCUCAAUGUCCAUACAGUACUAGAACAUAUGAACUAGCACAGGAAUUCACAAUGUACAUUUUUUUAAUAGAAAGUCAUAAUGCCCAUGUCUAUCAUAAUGCUGCAGAAAGAAAGCGUUUCAGCAAUUUGGGAGGUGAAAAAUUAAAAAGCCCAAGAAAGGUUUAGCUAGUUAUGGAAGACAUGUGAGCAAACCUAAGCCCAAGUAGUAAGUUCUGAAGAGGGCUCUUUUUCGACACUGCAGCACCAAGCAUAUAAUGUUACUGUAUAACCCAAUUACAAAGUAACAAUUAAGCACAAAUCAAACCAACAGAGACCAUGACAUCGAGAAUGAGAUCGGAUAGAACAAGCACAUCUCCAUACAAAGUUUUAAGACAUCAAUACCACAAAGAACAGUAUCCCCAUUAAGUUGAUGUCAGUAGAGUCCAAAGAGUAUCAAUAAACAUGUGAAGUUAAAUUGAAAUUUUAACACCAAACAAUUGACGAUCCAAAUGGAAACACCUAAAAUGGAAAGAGAAGAAGUAAUAAACUAGGAGGAAACUGAAGGGCAAACACUAAGAUAACUUUUUCUGACAAAGCCAUACCUGAAAUGGCUAUAUCUCUCACAUAUCUAUGCCAAUAGCUUGGUCACAGUUCCUAGCUUCGAUGGAGCACCUGUCCGUACUAGCAGUUCAGUACAUUCUAGAUCUAUUUUCUUGAAAGCAAACCUUCUCAACUCUAUGGCACCGGUGUUCUAUGCAAACAACAUUUAUUAAUAGGAAAAGCCACGGAAACAGAAAAAAAGGAAAUAAAAUAAAAGGGAAAUAAAGGAAGAAGGCCAAGAUAACUUACUCUACGAAAGAAUACCUUGAACCACUAUUCAACUUUUUUUUUAUGGCAAUACCUUUCUGGAGCUUCUAGCGACGGUUGUACCACUUGGAGCACUUGUGAAACGGGACGGGCAUGGGCAAAAACACCUGAAAGG